ACAUCUUCUCUCUCCCAUAGUUUUGUGCUUUCUCAUCUCCUUUUCUCUUUCUUUUGCUUUUAGCAGGUAUUUAUGCCUCUGGAGAUGCAGAAUCUGGAUCGGUGAUUAUGGGUCACCUGCUGCCCUGUGUUCCUGCUCGACAACUGCUACUACAAUUGUGGAAUUUGCAUUGUGCCCCACCCCCAACCCAACACGGCAGCGGCGGAUGGCCGCCCACCUUUGAGUCUGGUUCUGCCUGAGUGGUCUGCCUCUUAAGGGAAGUUUUUACUUGCCAAUGUCACCAAGUGCUUGCUCAUGGUGGGAUGUGUUGGUUCUCUGUAAAUAAUAUUAUAAAGAGUACAGUCUAUGAUCUGCUCUGUGGGAUAAUUGCAAUGAGAUAACUUCUGUUAUGAAUUGGUACUAUAUAAAUAUAAUUGAACUGAAUUGCAUUGAAUUCAUAAAAGCACUACAUAAAUGCAGCCAUUUACCAUUUAUUUAGUUUGAAAAGCACAUUUCUUAAACAAGUGAAUAAAAUGUUUUGCUGUUCCCACAUCUCUGUAUUAGGACUGUAUUUUUUCCCAUCAAAAUCAACAAGUACUUAACAGGACUAAUAUGAUAUUUAGCAAUUAUUUCAGUACCCAGCCUUCAUACCUGCUCAAGCCUUCACUUUAUUAUGCAUCAUAACAGAAACCACAACUAAAGUUAAAUGUGUCAUAUAAUGUUUACCUAUAAUGUAAUGCCAGUUCAGCAUCCCACAUUGCCAACUUGUUCCACUAAUCAGUUGAAGUGAAAUAACAUGUCGACCGUGGUUGUUUACAGUUUGGAACAUUAGGUUAUCAUUAUUGCACAAGUGUUCUUUAGUCCAGCUGCCCAUCUGCUCUUCCGCAAUUAUUUAGGUAUUUAUUAGUUUUGAUGGGUCUUGUUCACUAUGGAUUAAGGGUAUACACUGGAAAUACACACACACUCAAAAACAUAAAAAGGUGCAUGUAUUUCAACAGAGUAGUGCAGGACUUGAAAGUACAGUCUGGUCUGUAUGGGUCAGUCUUUGCUCUCAGCCAGUGUUUGAUGUCCCUUCCUGUGAGUCGUCCCCUGGUGUUCUCACAGGAUUUCACUCGUCAAAUGGUUCAAACUGGACUCCACUCGGCACAUGGCCAUUUGAAGGAGUGGGACCAGUGACAUACAUACAGCCACAUACACCAGAGCAA